rnacentral:rRNA from 1 species
UACAGAGGGUGCAAGCGUUAAUCGGAAUUACUGGGCGUAAAGCGCGCGUAGGUGGUUUGUUAAGUUGGAUGUGAAAUCCCCGGGCUCAACCUGGGAACUGCAUUCAAAACUGACAAGCUAGAGUAUGGUAGAGGGUGGUGGAAUUUCCUGUGUAGCGGUGAAAUGCGUAGAUAUAGGAGGAACACCAGUGGCGAAGGCGACCACCUGGACUGAUACUGACACUGAGGUGCGAAAGCGUGGGGAGCAAACAGG